rnacentral:rRNA from 1 species
UAGGGAAUAUUGCACAAUGGAGGAAACUCUGAUGCAGCGACGCCGCGUGAGUGAUGAAGGCCUUCGGGUUGUAAAGCUCUGUGAUAAGGGAAGAUGAUGACGGUACCUUAUCAGAAAGGACCGGCUAACUUCGUGCCAGCAGCCGCGGUAAUACGAGGGGUCCAAGCGUUGUUCGGAAUCACUGGGCGUAAAGCGGGUGUAGGUGGCUUUGUAAGUCACAUGUGAAAGCCCCGGGCUCAACCCGGGAAGUGCAUGUGAUACUGCAAAGCUUGAGUACGGGAGAGGAUGGCAGAAUUCCUGGUGUAGUGGUGAAAUACGUAGAUAUCAGGAGGAACUCCGGUGGCGAAGGCGGCUAUCUGGCCCAGUACUGACACUCAGACCCGAAAGCGUGGGUAGCAAACA